AAUAGGUUAGUAGAAAGCAUACGUUUGGUUUAGAGCCAAAAAAUGGGGGUCGCCCCCACCUAUUA
rnacentral:tRNA from 1 species